rnacentral:rRNA from 1 species
UGGGGAAUAUUGGACAAUGGGGGGAACCCUGAUCCAGCCAUGCCGCGUGUGUGAAGAAGGCCUUAUGGUUGUAAAGCACUUUAAGCGAGGAGGAGGGUACUGGUAUUAAUACUACCAGGUACUGGACGUUACUCGCAGAAUAAGCACCGGCUAACUCUGUGCCAGCAGCCGCGGUAAUACAGAGGGUGCGAGCGUUAAUCGGGUUUACUGGGCGUAAAGCGUGCGUAGGCGGCUAAUUGAGUCGGAUGUGAAAUCCCCGAGCUUAACUUGGGAAUUGCAUUCGAUACUGGUUAGCUAGAGUGUGGGAGAGGAUGGUAGAAUUCCAGGUGUAGCGGUGAAAUGCGUAGAGAUCUGGAGGAAUACCGAUGGCGAAGGCAGCCAUCUGGCCUAACACUGACGCUGAGGUACGAAAGCAUGGGGAGCAAACAGG